rnacentral:rRNA from 1 species
UAGAGUUUGAUCCUGGCUCAGAACGAACGCUGGCGGCAGGCCUAACACAUGCAAGUCGAACGCCCCGCAAGGGGAGUGGCAGACGGGUGAGUAACGCGUGGGAACCUACCUAGAGGUGCGGAAUAGCCCAGGGAAACUUGGAGUAAUACCGCAUAAGCCCGCAAGGGGAAAGAUUUAUCGCCUUUAGAUGGGCCCGCGUCGGAUUAGCUAGUUGGUGAGGUAAUGGCUCACCAAGGCGACGAUCCGUAGCUGGUUUGAGAGAAUGACCAGCCACACUGGGACUGAGACACGGGCGAGACUCCUACGGGAGGCAGCAGUGGGGAAUCUUGGACAAUGGGCGCAAGCCUGAUCCAGCCAUGCCGCGUGAGUGACGAAAGGCCUUAGGGUUGUAAAGCUCUUUUGGCGGGGACGAUAAUGACGGUACCCGCACAAUAAUCCCGG